rnacentral:lncRNA from 1 species
UUUUUUUUGUCUUUUUAGGGUUGCACCCGUGGCAUAUGGAGAUUCCCAGGCUGGGGUCAAGUUGGAGCUUUAGCCGCUGGCCUAUACCACAGCCACAGCAACAGCAGAUCCAAGCUGCACCUACAACCUACACUACAGCUCAUAGCAACACCGGAUCCUUAACCCACUGAGACAGGCCAGGGAUUGAACCUGCAUCCUCAUGGAUGCUAGUCAGAUUCACUUUUGCUGAGCCACGACGGGAUCUCCUACAUAAAUAAUUAUUGGUAGGCAUGUACUUAUUGCCAUUUUGUUUUGGAUUGUUUUUGUAGUUUUUUGUUUCUCUCUUCUUUUGCUCUAUUCCCUUGUGAUUUGAUGACUAUCUUUACUACUGUGCUUAGUAGUAUACACUCUUUUUGUGUGUAUGUAUGUAUCUACUAUUGAUCAAACACAUUCUAACAACUCUGCAUUUUUAUUGCCCACCCAUUUAAUGUUUUUGACAUCAUAUUUUACAUUUUUGUUUUGCGUAUCCCUUAAGUGUUUAUUGUGGAUAUAGAUUUCUACUUUGUUUUUCAACCUUCCUACUAGUUUUAUAAGUAGAUGAUCUACUACCUUUAUUAUAUAUUUGCCUUUACCAGUGAGUUUUUUUCUCUCAUGUUUUCAUAUUCUCAUUUCAUUUUCUCUCUAGUUCUUUCCAUUUAGAGAAGUCCCUUUAGGGAGUUCCCUGGUGAUGAAGUGGUUAAGGAUCUGGUGUUGUCACUGCUGUGGCGCAGGUUUGAUCCCUGGCCCAGGAAGUUCUGCAUGCCACAGGUGCAGCCUAUUUAAAAAAGAGAGAAAGAGAGAAGUAUCUUUAAUAUUUCUUGUAAAGUUGGAGUUCCCAUCGUGGCUCAGUGGUUAAUGAAUCUGACUAGGAACCAUGAGGUUGCAGGUUUGAUCCCUGGCCUUGCUCUGUGGGUUAAGGAUCUGGCGUUGCUGUGAGCUAUGGUGUAGGUUGCAGAUGUGGUUCGGAUCCCACAUUGCUGUGGCUCUGGCGUAGGCUGGCAGCUAUGGCUCCAAUUCAACCCCUAGCCUGGGAACCUCCAUAUGCUGAGGGAGCGGCCCAAGAAAUGGCAAAAAGACCAAAAAAAAAAAAAAAAAAAAAAUCUUCUUUGCUGUGUAGAGUAUCUUUCUUUCCUUCUUUCUGGCCAUACCUGUGACAUAUGGAAUUUCCCAGGCCAGGGAUUGAGCUACAGCUGUAACCUACACCACAGGUGCAGCAACUCCAGAUUCUUUAAUUCACCACACUGGGCUGGGGAAUCACUUGCACCCCCACAGUGACCCAAGCUGCCACAGUCAGAUUUUAAAAAUUUUUUAAAAAUUAUACUUGAUUUUCAAUGUUCUGCCAGUUUCUGCUAUACAGCAAAGAGACCCAGUCAUGCAUGUAUAUAUAUUCUUUUUCUCACAUUGUUCUCCAUCAUGUUCCAUCACAAGUGAUUUGAUACAGUUCCCUAUGUGCUACGCAGCAGGAGCUCAUUGCUUAUCCACUCCAAAUGCAAUAGUUUGCAUCUACUAACCCAACUCCAGUCCAUCCCACUCCCUCCCCCUCCCCCUCGGCAACCACAAGUCUGUUCUCCAUGCCCAUGAGGUUAUUUCUUUCCUGUAGAUAUGUUCACUUGUGCCGUAUAUUAGAUUCCAGAUAUAAGUGAUAUCACAUGGUAUUUGUCUUUCUCUUUCUGACUUACUUCACUUAGUAUGGGAGUCUCUAGUUCCAUCCCUGUUGCUGCAAAAGGCAUUACUUUGUUCUUUUUUAUGGCCGAGUAGAAUUUCACUGUGUAAAUGUACCACGUCGUCUUCAUCCAUUCACCUGUCAGUGGACAUUUAGGUUGUUUCCACGUCUUGGCUAUUGUGAACAGUGACACAGUGAACAUACGAGUGCACAGAUCUUUUUCAAGGAAAGCGACAUCUGGAUAGAUGCCCAGGAGUGUGAUUGCUGGAUCAUAUAGUGGUUCUAUAUUUAGUUUUCUGAGGCACCUCCAUACUGUUUUCCAUAGUGGUUGGUACCAAUGCACAUUCCCACCAACAGUGUAGGAGGGUUCCCUUUUCUCCACACCCCCUCCAGCAUUUGUUACUUGUGGACUUAUUGACGGCCAUUCUGACAGGUGUGAGGUGGUACCUCAUAGUAGUUCUGAUUUUCAUUUCUCUAAUAAUCAGUGAUGUUGAGCGUUUUUUCGUGUGCCUACUGGCCAUCUGUAUAUCUUCUUUGGAAAAAUGUCUAUUUGUUGUUGGUUUUUUUGCUGUUGUAUAAGUUGUUUGUAUAUUUUAGAGAUUAAGCCCUUGUCAGUUGCCUCAUUUGAAACUAUUUUCUCCCAUUCCAUAGGUUGUCUUUUUUUUUUUUUUUUUUUUAAAUGGUUUCCUUUGCUGUGCAAAAGCU